UACGAAGGGGACUAGCGUUGUUCGGAAUCACUGGGCGUAAAGCGCACGUAGGCGGAUAUGUCAGUCAGGGGUGAAAUCCCGGGGCUCAACCUCGGAACUGCCUUUGAUACAGCAUGUCUUGAGUCCGAUAGAGGUGGGUGGAAUUCCUAGUGUAGAGGUGAAAUUCGUAGAUAUUAGGAAGAACACCGGUGGCGAAGGCGGCCCACUGGAUCGGUACUGACGCUGAGGUGCGAAAGCGUGGGGAGCGAUCCGG
rnacentral:rRNA from 1 species